rnacentral:sRNA from 1 species
AGAAACAAUGCUAGUAGUUUAAAUGGUGACCUUUUUGAUGAUUUUAUUCGAGAAAAUUAAAAUCGAUGAAAGUUGCGGCUAUCAUACUAAAAUGCAUAUCAUUUUUCUUUGACAGUCUUAAAUUAAUGAAGAAAGAAACAGUCUUUUUUAAUUAAUAUUAAUGUUAAGCUUACUAAACUUGAAACUUUAGAUUUGUUAUUUGGAGAUGGCGACUUUUCAUUUUAUGAAAAUACUGUACUAUAUAAAAUUAGCUCAUAAAUAUAUUGUAAAAUCUAAGAGAGUUAGCUAGAAUUAUCAUAACUAUAGCAAUUUAUCAAAUACGUUUACGCGAAAGUAGUAUGCUUAUGCUUUAACUGUAAUAUUUAAGUUUUUUAUUAUUUGGAUUUUUUAAUUUCUUUUUUCCACAAACCGGUUUUUGAUUUUCUGUUUUUAUAAUUUUAUGCUACAUCAUACUAUUUUAUAGCAAAACUGUAUUAUCUCGUUUGUCAUUUAAAUCUUACACUUUAUUUGUAUUACCUUACACCUUACGGAAAAAGCUUGCAUAGGCAUUGCCUGCUGCCUAUUCCAUUUAUGUUAAUAUCUAUAUUUGCAUAAUACAAUAUGUCAACAACAAAUCAACUCAAAUGUUUCAACUUUAUUUUCAUUUACAUGUAUGCAUCUAUAUAAAAAAAAUAGUGCUUUCAUUUUCUUAACUUACACAAUAUCUGUGAUUUUAGUAUCAUUGAUUUCUUUAUUGCAGUUAAUUAUAACGGUUUCCAAUCUUCCUCCUCUGGGUUGAUCCUUUUUAUUGCAUGUCCAACUCCUGGAGUUUGAUAAACAACUUCGAAAAUUUACUUGAAAUUUCUCGGACAGGAAAACAUACAAGAUUGGGUUUAUACAGCUGUUUAUAUAUGCAAGACAAUUGGCGAACAUCAUUACUGCAGUAAACCCUAUCGUUGCUUCAAAAUCUAUGAAGUUCUUAGUAAUCAGCAUAGCAUGGAUCGGUAGCCAGCAUAAGGCAAAUGCAACCACAAAACUGAUGAUCAUCCGAGUCGCCUGUCGCUUGGCCCGCAUGCUUCUCCGGUGUCGUCGCAAGGACAAAGGAGUUCCAAGGCGUAGAUGUUUGACAAGAGAUCCGUACAGCGUACAAAUAAGAGUCAGUGGAAAAGCAUAGCCAAAGAUAAAGAAACAGCCGUAGAACACCUUUAAGACAAGUUUGUUGUAAACACCGGCCAGAUUGAGGCAUGCUGACCGGUCAAAGCCCUCCCAUUGGUACCUGAUAACUCCGAAUUGCAAAAGAACAGGAAUAUUACCACAAAUGAUUAUUGCCCAUGUUGCAUACACUAUGAGGAAAGUGUUUCGCCGGGUUCUUAUUUUUUUGGAUGCCGUAGGGUGCACAACAGCGAGGAAUCUAUCUAAAGACAAAAGCACCAGUGUCCAAACGCUGGCAUAUGCACAGACAUGUGUGGUGAAGUUUACAACUUUACACCAAAUAUUUCCGAAAGGCCAUUCCGAUAGUGCAUAGUGGACUGCCGUGUAUGGAACACACGAAAGUACAAAUAACAAGUCAGCAAGUGCAAGGAAAAAUAUCAGAAUGUUGGUUGGUUGGUUGAGUUUUUCUUUGAACGAGAUCCAAUAUAUGACCAUCGUGUUUCCUAUCAUUCCAAGAAGUACCAACAGUCCAAAAAUGACUGGAAUGAAAUACUUAACAAAGUUUUCGAAAUCCAGAUAUGCACUGAUGUCGAGUCCGCUCUGUUCCUGAAGGAUUGUUCCGUUUUGAUACGAGCCGUUCAACAUCUUUUUUUUUUUGGUUGGUCAGGGCAACUCUAAAUAAAGAAUUCUAUUUAAU